rnacentral:rRNA from 1 species
CUACGUGCCAGCAGCCGCGGUAAUACGUAGGGUGCGAGCGUUAAUCGGAAUUACUGGGCGUAAAGCGGGCGCAGACGGUUACUUAAGCAGGAUGUGAAAUCCCCGGGCUCAACCUGGGAACUGCGUUCUGAACUGGGUGACUAGAGUGUGUCAGAGGGAGGUAGAAUUCCACGUGUAGCAGUGAAAUGCGUAGAGAUGUGGAGGAAUACCGAUGGCGAAGGCAGCCUCCUGGGAUAACACUGACGUUCAUGCCCGAAAGCGUGGGUAGCAAACAGGAUUAGAUACCCUGGUAGUCCGCGCCCUAAACGAUGUCGAUUAGCUGUUGGGCAGCAUGACUGCUUAGUAGCGAAGCUAACGCGUGAAAUCGACCGCCUGGGGAGUACGGUCGCAAGAUUAAAACUCAAAGGAAUUGACGGGGACCCGCACAAGCGGUGGAUGAUGUGGAUUAAUUCGAUGCAACGCGAAGAACCUUACCUGGUCUUGACAU